GAUGAACGCUGGCGGCGUGCCUAAUACAUGCAAGUCGAACGAGGUGCUUUUGUAGCAAUACGAGAGUAUCCUAGUGGCGAACGGGUGAGUAACGCGUUGGUGACCUACCCCAAAGUGUGGAAUAACAGUCCGAAAGGAUUGCUAAUACCGCAUGUGGUUAUCGGGUUUAGAAACUGAUAACUAAAGGAGCAAUUCGCUUUGGGAGGGACCUGCGUCCCAUCAGCUAGUUGGUGAGGUAACGGCUCACCAAGGCUACGACGGGUAGGGGACCUGAGAGGGUGACCCCCCACAAUGGAACUGAAACACGGUCCAUACACCUACGGGUGGCAGCAGUAGGGAAUAUUGCACAAUGGGCGAAAGCCUGAUGCAGCAACGCCGCGUGCACGAUGAAGGCCUUCGGGUCGUAAAGUGCUUUUCUGGGAGAUGAGAAAGGACAGUAUCCCAGGAAUAAGUCUCGGCUAACUACGUG
rnacentral:rRNA from 1 species